AUUGAACGCUGGCGGCAUGCCUUACACAUGCAAGUCGAACGGCAGCACGGGUGCUUGCACCUGGUGGCGAGUGGCGAACGGGUGAGUAAUACAUCGGAACGUACCUUAUCGUGGGGGAUAACGCAGCGAAAGCUGUGCUAAUACCGCAUACGCCCUGAGGGGGAAAGCGGGGGAUCGCAAGACCUCGCGCGAUUAGAGCGGCCGAUGCCUGAUUAGCUAGUUGGUGGGGUAAAAGCCCACCAAGGCGACGAUCAGUAGCUGGACUGGGAGGACGAUCAGCCACGCUGGGACUGAGACACGGCCCAGACUCCUACGGGAGGCAGCAGUGGGGAAUUUUGGACAAUGGGGGCAACCCUGAUCCAGCAAUGCCGCGUGAGUGAAGAAGGCCUGCGGGUUGUAAAGCUCUUUUGUCAGGGAAGAAACACCGGCUCUAACACAGUCCGGGAAUGACGUUACCGACAGAAUAAGCACCGGCUAACUUCGUGCCAGCCGCCGCGGUAA
rnacentral:rRNA from 1 species